AUGACGUUAGGAAAGCGAGCGGCGGAUGGGUGAGUAACACGUGGGGAACCUGCCCCAUAGUCUGGGAUACCACUUGGAAACAGGUGCUAAUACCGGAUAAGAAAGCAGAUCGCAUGAUCAGCUUUUAAAAGGCGGCGUAAGCUGUCGCUAUGGGAUGGCCCCGCGGUGCAUUAGCUAGUUGGUAAGGUAAAGGCUUACCAAGGCGAUGAUGCAUAGCCGAGUUGAGAGACUGAUCGGCCACAUUGGGACUGAGACACGGCCCAAACUCCUACGGGAGGCAGCAGUAGGGAAUCUUCCACAAUGGACGCAAGUCUGAUGGAGCAACGCCGCGUGAGUGAAGAAGGUUUUCGGAUCGUAAAGCUCUGUUGUUGGUGAAGAAGGAUAGAGGUAGUAACUGGCCUUUAUUUGACGGUAAUCAACCAGAAAGUCACGGCUAACUACGUGCCAGCAGCCGCGGUAAUACGUAGGUGGCAAGCGUUGUCCGGAUUUAUUGGGCGUAAAGCGAGCGCAGGCGGAAGAAUAAGUCUGAUGUGAAAGCCCUCGGCUUAACCGAGGAACUGCAUCGGAAACUGUUUUUCUUGAGUGCAGAAGAGGAGAGUGGAACUCCAUGUGUAGCGGUGGAAUGCGUAGAUAUAUGGAAGAACACCAGUGGCGAAGGCGGCUCUCUGGUCUGCAACUGACGCUGAGGCUCGAAAGCAUGGGUAGCGAACAGGAUUAGAUACCCUGGUAGUCCAUGCCGUAAACGAUGAGUGCUAAGUGUUGGGAGGUUUCCCGCCUCUCA
rnacentral:rRNA from 1 species